UUGAUCCUGUCUCAGAGCGAACGCUGGCGGCAGGCUUAACACAUGCAAGUCGAACGGGCUUCUUCGGAAGUCAGUGGCAGACGGGUGAGUAACACGUGGGAACGUGCCCUUCGGUUCGGAAUAACUCAGGGAAACUUGAGCUAAUACCGGAUACGCCCUUAUGGGGAAAGGUUUACUGCCGAAGGAUCGGCCCGCGUCUGAUCAGCUUGUUGGUGGGGUAACGGCCUACCAAGGCGACGAUCAGUAGCUGGUCUGAGAGGAUGAUCAGCCACACUGGGACUGAGACACGGCCCAGACUCCUACGGGAGGCAGCAGUGGGGAAUAUUGGACGAUGGGCGCAAGCCUGAUCCAGCCAUGCCGCGUGAGUGAUGAAGGCCUUAGGGUUGUAAAGCUCUUUUGUCCGGGACGAUAAUGACGGUACCGGAAGAAUAAGCCCCGGCUUAACUUCGUGCCAGCAGCCGAGGUAAUACGAAGGGGGCUAUCGUUGCUCGGAAUCACUGGGCGUAAAGGGCGCCGUACGCGGCCGAUUAAGUCCGGGGGUAAAGCCUGUGGCUCAACCACAUAAUAGCCUUCGAUACGGGUU
rnacentral:rRNA from 1 species